rnacentral:tRNA from 1 species
ACUGUGUUUCAACAUGGUAACACCAAUUGAAUUAUUGCCACUGUGCCCAAACAUACAUUCCUGAACCUCAGCCUAGCUAACACAGUGUUGACACUAAAUACCGUCAACUGUUUGGAAGCAACGAUAAUUUGACACAGAGUGUCGUCAAACGCUAUUAACUCGAACUAGUAAUGUUUUAAAAACGUAGAGCAGAACUUUUCUAAUCAGCUCGUCAACUAGACAGAUAGGCAGGCAGACUAACAUCACUUCAGCGUCAGAGAUUUCCCAGAUUGGGAUAAUUUGCUCUGGUUUUAGUAUGUGUAGAUUGGUUCCAUCUGUCACCUCAUCACCUGGACUCACACAAUCAUCCCGAUAUAUAGAUUUUUCGACCACUUUUAACGGUUUGUAGCAAUCUCCUCUCGUGAUGUAAGAGUCCUUUCCACUUCA